rnacentral:ncRNA from 1 species
AGUACAUAAAUUAUUUAUGAUUAAGGGAAGCACGGUGCAAUUCCGGCACGAACCCAUCACUGUAAUCAUGGACAAUUCCUACAAAACCACUGGAGUCAAUCUGGGAAGGGUAGGAGGCGAAAGAAGUGUUAGUCAGAAUACCAAUCAUAAAUAUAUAAAUAUU